rnacentral:ncRNA from 1 species
AUAGAUUCGAUGACAAGAAUAAGUAGACGGAAAUUUCUGAACCUCACCAGAGAGCUGGAUCCAGGUGUAAGCCGGCAGGCAGAAUUCCAGCCGAAGUCCUCUUGAAGAAGCCUUCUGAACUGACAGUAAGAAGUGCCGGACGCUGAUCCCGUUAAAGACACAGCCCAUUGACAGAUGGGAAAAGAGCCGGAGUUUUCCGGAAUCAAGGUGGUACCGCGGUCAAGCCGUCCUUUGU